rnacentral:rRNA from 1 species
AUUGAACGCUGGCGGCAUGCCUUACACAUGCAAGUCGAACGGCGGCACGGGUGCUUGCACCUGGUGGCGAGCGGCGAACGGGUGAGUAAUACAUCGGAACGUACCUUAUCGUGGGGGAUAACGCAGCGAAAGCUGUGCUAAUACCGCAUACGCCCUGAGGGGGAAAGCGGGGGACCGCAAGACCUCGCGCGAUUAGAGCGGCCGAUGCCUGAUUAGCUUGUUGGUGGGGUAAAAGCCCACCAAGGCGACGAUCAGUAGCUGGUCUGAGAGGACGAUCAGCCACACUGGGACUGAGACACGGCCCAGACUCCUACGGGAGGCAGCAGUGGGGAAUUUUGGACAAUGGGGGCAACCCUGAUCCAGCAAUGCCGCGUGAGUGAAGAAGGCCUUCGGGUUGUAAAGCUCUUUUGUCAGGGAAGAAACACCGGCUCUAACACAGUCCGGGAAUGACGGUACCUGAAGAAUAAGCACCGGCUAACUACGUGCCAGCCGCCGCGGUAA